rnacentral:rRNA from 1 species
GACGAACGCUGGCGGCGUGCUUAACACAUGAAAGUCGAACGGAGUGGCGAACGGGGGAGUAACACGUGGGUGAUCUGCCUUGCACUUCGGGAGAAGCUUGGGAAACUGGGUCUAAUACCGGAUAGUGCAAGAUGAGCUCGCGGCCUAUCAGCUUGUUGGUGGGGUAAUGGCCUACCAAGGCGGCGACGGGUAGCCGGCCGGAGAGGGUGUACGGCCACAUUGGGCAUGAUAUACGGCCCAGACACCUACGGGAGGCAUCAGUGUGGAAUAUUGCACCAUGGGCGGAAGCCUGAUGCAGCGACGCAGCGUGGGGGAUGAAUGCCUUCGGUUUGUAAACUCCUUUCGACAGGGACGCGGUACCUGUAUCAGAGACACCGGCUGACUACGUGCCAGCAGCCGCGGUAAUAC